GUGGGUGUAGCUCAGUUGGUUAGAGCGUCGGAUUGUGGUUCCGAAUGUCGGGGGUUCAAAUCCCCUCACUCACCCC
rnacentral:tRNA from 1 species